GCCAUCCUGUUUUCACUAGUCAUAGAGCAAGCAUACGGACACUCAACCCCCACGGCCAUCAGAAACCGUUGUAAGCACGGCUGCUACGUGAAGUGCUGCACCGACGGAUAUGGGAAACUGGUCCCGUGCGAUAUACUAUGUAGAGAAAAAUGUUUAGCGCGAUGUCCAAAGGACAUACUUCCGCGCAAAUAAGGGGGUGGGUGCGUCACCAUUGAAAAAAUUUGUAAGUGGUGGACACAGGCAAUGUCAUUUCACGAAGGAUGAAAGUGUUUCAAUAAAAGAAGCCUUCGCGAACGCCGAA